rnacentral:rRNA from 1 species
UACGAAGGGGGCUAGCGUUGCUCGGAAUUACUGGGCGUAAAGGGUGCGUAGGCGGACAGUUUAGUCAGAGGUGAAAGCCCAGGGCUCAACCUUGGAAUUGCCUUUGAUACUGGCUGUCUUGAGUACGGGAGAGGUGUGUGGAACUCCGAGUGUAGAGGUGAAAUUCGUAGAUAUUCGGAAGAACACCAGUGGCGAAGGCGACACACUGGCCCGUUACUGACGCUGAGGCUCGAAAGCGUGGGGAGCAAACAGG